rnacentral:misc_RNA from 1 species
GUUUCCUAUAUUUUUGAAAAUGCCAUUUUCCAGUGUCUGUUUCUGCGUUUCCCCGUGUCCUCGUUUCCCUUUCCGUUCUACAUAAGGAAUAAUUAUGAUGGUUGAGGCAAUCUGCACUCGGUGAUGUAGAGUUGGGUUAAUAGGAUAAGUCUCUGCUGCUUACUUAAAAAUGUAACUUGUGAUUUUAAUUCAAAUAUAAUUGCUAUUUUUAGUGGUGAAAUUGGCGUCACUUUUUCUUAUUUUCUAUCAAAUCAUAAGCGUGACUUGCUUGCAGGUGGGAAGGGCGUGCAUAGGUCACAUGUGCAUUACUCAAAUUCCUGGAAACUGGACCUUUUUCUAUACCUUUUUCCCAUUUGAAUAGUCCAUAACAUGUCAAAAAGAGGUUAAAUUAAAUGUUUUUAUGGAAUUUCCCUGGCAUUUACCAUUAAUUCUGAUUAAAAUGGAAUUACCUUCGGAGGUUAGUUUGAACUACUAUGUAGUUAGUAAAUUGGGCUUGGAUAUUUUGGUGUUCUUCGCAGUAAGUUUUUAUGGGUUUGAAUUACUAUAUUUUGGAUAUUUUCUGGAUAUUACUGCCAAAAAAUUAUAAAAUGAGAAUAUCACUGGACUCUAUAAUACAGGUUACAGUUGGGCACUGGCGAGAGUUGAUAUAUUUUGGAAUUUUAAUUUGGGAAGAAUAUGUUUGGUACAUAAUUUUAAAGAUUAAACAGUGCCGGCAAAAGUUAACUACUGUAUAUGAAAUUAUGGAAAUCCAUUUGUCCUUUUUACCUGUGAAUGUGAUAAGUUGCAAUAGUAGUUCAUGAACAACUUCAAUAGCAUGACUAUUACUGGCAUCUAUUCCAUAAUCUUUUAACUAUUUACAUCACUGGCAAUGAUUCAUUACUAUAGCUUCCAUCUUAGGCACUUCAAAUUUACUUUUCAACAUUUGAUUUCAUUUGCCAAAAACUCAUUAGAAUCCUAUAAUCAAACUACUUAUUUAGCUGCAUGACCUUAUUGUAUACACCCAAUGUGCAAGGAGGAAUUUCAUUCCCAGAUCAGAAACGCCUUAGUAAAAUAAUUACUUGCUAUGGGAAAUUGCAAAUAUGUGGAGACAUGAAUUCAUGCAAGAGUGAUAAUUGAUGUGAACUAUUGACUGAUUUUGUGGUGCAUUUCUUUGUGUUGACACCUUUCCUUAACUGUUGUUCAUGGUGGUGUUACCUUCUUUCUGUUAUGUACAGUGUGUUAGGCUUUUUCCCCUUGUCAUUGUUUUUCUAUUAUGCAAAGUCUUCAUGGUUUAUGAGUUUCAGUUAGUCUUUAGUUUAAGUAGCUGAUAUUGUUGCAAUGGAAAUCUUGAUCAUGUUUGAUAUUUGCAUUUCACUUUUUGUACACUGAUCUAAUAUUGUUCAGUCAUAAAUCAUAAUAUUUUCUAAGCUUUUUGUUUGAGGAAUGUUUGUGCUGAUGUUUCAGG